GGGAGUUGCUCCUAGUACGAGAGGACCGGAGUGAACGAACCUCUGGUGUUCGGGUUGUCACGCCAGUGGCACUGCCCGGUAGCUAAGUUCGGAAUCGAUAACCGCUGAAAGCAUCUAAGCGGGAAGCGAGCCCUGAGAUGAGUCAUCCCUGACCCCUUGAGGGUCCUAAAGGGCCGUUGGAGACCACAACGUUGAUAGGUGGGGUGUGUAAGCGCAGUGAUGUGUUGAGCUAACCCAUACUAAUUACCCGUGAGGCUUAACCAUACAACACCCAAGAAGUGUUCUG
rnacentral:rRNA from 1 species